UACGGGGGGAGCAAGCGUUGUUCGGAUUUACUGGGCGUAAAGGGCGCGUAGGCGGUCGUGACAAGUCACUUGUGAAAUCUCCGGGCUUAACUCGGAACGGUCAAGUGAUACUGUCGGACUAGAGUACAGAAGGGGCAACUGGAAUUCUCGGUGUAGCGGUGAAAUGCGCAGAUAUCGGGAGGAACACCAAUUGCGAAGGCAGCUCGCUGGGACGUAACUGACGCUGAGACGCGAAGGCGUGGGGAGCAAACAGGG
rnacentral:rRNA from 1 species